UGGGGAAUAUUGGACAAUGGGCGAAAGCCUGAUCCAGCCAUGCCGCGUGUGUGAAGAAGGUCUUCGGAUUGUAAAGCACUUUAAGUUGGGAGGAAGGGCAGUAAGCGAAUACCUUGCUGUUUUGACGUUACCGACAGAAUAAGCACCGGCUAACUCUGUGCCAGCAGCCGCGGUAAUACAGAGGGUGCAAGCGUUAAUCGGAAUUACUGGGCGUAAAGCGCGCGUAGGUGGUUCGUUAAGUUGAAUGUGAAAGCCCCGGGCUCAACCUGGGAACUGCAUCCGAAACUGGCGAGCUAGGGUAGGGCAGAGGGGGGUGGAAUUUCCUGUGUAGCGGUGAAAUGCGGAGAUAUAGGGAGGAACACCAGUGGCGGAGGCGACCACCUGGGCUCAUACUGACACUGAGGUGCGAAAGCGUGGGGAGCAAACAGG
rnacentral:rRNA from 1 species